UACGUAGGGAGCAAGCGUUGUCCGGAAUCAUUGGGCGUAAAGCGCGCGUAGGCGGCCCUGUAAGUCCGUUGUGAAAGUCAAAGGCUCAACCUUUGAAAGCCGAUGGAUACUGCAGGGCUAGAGUCCGGAAGAGGCGAGUGGAAUUCCUGGUGUAGCGGUGGAAUGCGCAGAUAUCAGGAGGAACACCAAUAGCGAAGGCAGCUCGCUGGGACGGUACUGACGCUGAAGCGCGAAAGCUAGGGGAGCGAACGGG
rnacentral:rRNA from 1 species